rnacentral:tRNA from 1 species
GCCUGGGGGGCUCAGUCGGUUAAGCGUCUGACUUCAGCUCAGGUCACGAUCACGUGGUUCAUGGGUUCAAGCCCCACGUCAGGCU